GGUAAGAUGGUCGAAUGUCAGGCGGUGGGUUGUAGCCCCAAUCACGUAGGUUAAAUUCCUACUUUUACCA
rnacentral:tRNA from 1 species